GACGAACGCUGGCGGCGUGCUUAACACAUGCAAGUCGAACGGAAAGGCCCUGCAGUUUUGUGGUGCUCGAGUGGCGAACGGGUGAGUAACACGUGAGUAACCUGCCCUUGACUUUGGGAUAACUUCAGGAAACUGGGGCUAAUACCGGAUAGGAGCUCCUGCUGCAUGGUGGGGGUGGGAAAGUUUCGGCGGGUGGAGAUGGACUCGCGGCUUAUCAGCUUGUUGGUGGGGUAGUGGCUUACGCAGGCUUUGACGGGUAGCCGGCCUGAGAGGGUGACCGGCCACAUUGGGACUGAGAUACGGCCCAGACUCCUACGGGAGGCAGCAGUGGGGAAUAUUGCACAAUGGGCGGAAGCCUGAUGCAGCAACGCCGCGUGCGGGAUGACGGCCUUCGGGUUGUAAACCGCUUUCGCCUGUGACGAAGCGUGAGUGACGGUAAUGGGUAAAGAAGCACCGGCUAACUACGUG
rnacentral:rRNA from 1 species